UUCGGGACCUUCUAGGUCCUGCUUUAAUAAGAAAAAUAAAGUAAAAUAAAGUGUUUUCAUUUGAAUGAUCUCUUUGUUCUAAUUGGGUGUAUCACUGUAUUCGCAAAAAAAAGUAUCACUAUGUGUACUCCCGUAAAAAUGUCACUUGUUGUAGUGGUCCUUUCAUAUACAUAUGCACAACGGUAUAACUGGUAUGGACAGUUUGGUUUGACAUAAAUGACAAGAAAAUGUUUUAAUCCGGCCUAAAAAUCAUAUUUCAAACCGCAUCAAGAAUAUCUAGACGUGCCGGACAACAAGGCUCUUAAGAAAGGGUCCAUUGAUCAGUCAGUUUAAAGCUAUCCAGAUUGUUUAUACUUUUUUUUGCGGGGCCAGAUUGUUUGUACCUAUAGAAACGUUGUGCACCUGUCAUUUGGAUGCAUCAUCUAUUUACCUUCCGUGGUGAUAUCAACAUCGCGCAUAUAUCUUGGGCCGCAUAGGAAUUAUAUGCACAUUGUAUUUUUUUUUGAGAAAAGGCUCGAGGCGAGCCUGACUGAAUUAACAAAGACAUUAACCGGAUAUGAUUACACAGGACAACAACAUGCAACAAGAAAAAAGAAAACGACGAAAAAGAUACAUGAUUAUGUAACAGCUUAUAACCUAGCAGCUUUACAGGCAAAUCAGGAAGGUCAAGAUCUAGGAAGGAGUUGCCAUUCACAAAUCUCACCAACAAAGGCACAAGCUGAAGAAAGUUGCCACACGACAAAGAUCGACAUAAAAGAUUGCAUUGUCAGCGUCACAGAGCAUAACCCAACUAAUCAACCAUGGGGUGAUGACAAAAUAGAACAGAAAACUCCACCGGUCGACAAAAUCCCCGCAUAAGAGUGCCAUCCUCAUGCAUGUGCCCCCGGCAAGGCCUCCCAGAAGGGGAGCGACGCAAAAACUCCGCCGUCAUCCAAGAAUUUGUUUGGUUCAAGGAUAACACAAACAUAAUUGUAACAGGAUCACACAACCACUAUAAAAUGGAAUGUACAAAAUAGUAGACAUGUUUUGUUCAACUUUUAAAUGGACGGUAAUCAAUUAUAAUGUAUGGAGGUACGAUUCGUGCCAAAUUAUGGAAUUGGCUGCAAUGAAGGCAUAUCGACAUGUAAUAUUUAUCAGAGGCGGUGAGAUCACCACAUAAAUCCAUAUCUGACAGUAAAUUAUCAAAAAAAAAGAAUUAAAAUAGAAGAAUGAACCAAAGGACACAAGCAUACAAAUUACACCAGCCUCAUGGCGGCAGAUCCACGCCAGAGCUAUCACCUAGCUUUUUACAUUCAACAUACAUGAGCCUCUCUUCAUAUAUUGAAAAAAAUUAACGGAUGAAACAUAUUGUGGCUCAACAUCGGUUGGAAUGACAAUGUAGUGAGCAAGACAAGGAAUAGUGUUGGGAAACAUAGCAUGCAAUUUAAAAAAAAAUGCUACGCUCACGCAAGAUUUAUCUAGGAGAUGCAUAGCAACGAGAGGGGGGAGUGUGUCUACGUACCCUCGUAGACCGAAAGCGGAAGCGUUUGACAACACGGUUGAUGUAGUCGAACUUCUUCUCGUUCCGACCGGUCAAGUACCGAACGUACACACCUCCGAGUUUUGCACACGUUCAGCUUGAUGACGUCCCUCGAACUCUUAAUCCAGCAAAGUGUCGAGGAAGUAGAUGAGUUCCGUCAGCACGACGGCGUGAUGACGGUGAUGGUGAAGUGAUCCGCGCAGGGCUUCGCCUAAGCACUGCGAGAAUAUGACCGAGGGUGUAAUCUGUGGAGAGGGACGCCGCACACGGCUAACAGAUGUUGUUGUGUGUUCUAGGCGCCCCCUCCCCAUGUUUAUAUAGGUGGGAGAGGAAGGGGAGCAGCAAGGGGGCGCCCCAAGUAGGAGGAAUCCUACUUGGGCGCCUCCCCAAUUCGGCCUCCCCCUUUCAUAAGUUCCGGAGGGUGAAGGAAGGAGGAGGGAGGAGGGAAGAAAGGGGGAGGCUGAAUCCCUCCCCUUCCAUCUCUCUUCCCCACUUUCCUUCUCCUAUGGUUCGCCCAUAUGGGGGGCGCAGCAACCCCUGCUGGCUGUUGUGUUUCCCCUCUUGGCCCAUUAGGCCCAUAUCUUUUGCCGGGAAUGCCCGGAACCCCUUCCGCUGACCCGAUAUGUACCCGGUACCCUCCGGAACACUUCUAGGGUCCAAAUACUAUCGUCCUAUAUAUCAAUCUUUACCUCUCGACCAUUUCGAGACUCCUCGUCAUGUCCGUGAUCUCAUCUGGGACUCCGAACAACAUUCAUUCACCAAAUCACAUAACUCAUAUAAUACAAAAUCGUCAUCGAACAUUAAGCGUGUGGACCCUACGGGUUCGAGAACUAUGUAGACAUGACCGAGACACCUCUCCGGUCAAUAACCAAUAGCGGAACAUGGAUGCUCAUAUUGGCUCCUACAUAUUCUACGAAGAUCAUUAUCGGUCGAACCGUUAUGACAACAUACGUUAUUCCCUUUGUCAUCGGUAUGUUACUUGCCCGAGAUUCGAUCGUCAGUAUCUUCAUACCUACUCCAAUCUCAUUACCAGCAAGUCUCUUUACUCAUUGCGUAAUACAUUAUCCCGCAACUAACUCAUUAGUCACUUUGCUUGCAAGGCUUCUUAUGAUGUGCAUUACCGAGAGGGCCCAGAGAUACCUCCCCGAUACUCAGAGUGACAAAUCCUAAUCUCGAUCUAUGCCGACCCAACAAACACCUUCGGAGAUACCUGUAGAGCAUCUUUAUAAUCACCCAGUUACAUUGUGAUGUUUGAUAGCACACAAGGCAUUCCUCCAGUAUCCGGGAGUUGCAUAAUCUCAUAGUCGAAGGAAUUUGUAUUUGACAUGAAGGAAGCACUAGCAAUAAAACUGAAUGAUCAUUAUGCUAAGCUAACGGAUGGGUCUUGUCCAUCACAUCAUUCUCCUAAUGAUGUGAUCCCGUUCAUAAAAUGACAACACAUGUCUAUGGUUAGGAAACUUAACCAUCUUUGAUUAAUGAGCUAGUCUAGUAGAGGCUUACUAGGGACACUGUGUUUUGUCUAUGUAUCCACACAUGUAUCAUGUUUCGGGUUAAUACACUUCUAGCAUGAAUAAUAAACAUUUAUCAUGAUAUAAGGAAAUAUAAAAUAACAACUUUAUUAUUGCCUCUAGGGCAUAUUUCCUUUACUCUUCCACUUGCACUAGAGUCAAUGAUCCAGUUCACAUCGCCAUGUGAUUUAACACCAAUAGUUCACAUCUUUAUGUGAUUAGCACCCAUAGUUCACAUCGCCAUGUGACCAAUACCCAAAGAGUUUACUAGAGUAAAUAAUCUAGUUCACAUCGCUAUGUGAUUAACACUCAAAGAGUACUAAGGUGUGAUCAUGUUUUGCUUGUGAGAGAGGUUUAGUCAACGGGUCCGCCACAUUCAGAUCCGUAUGUAUUUUGCAAAUUUCUAUGUCUACAAUGCUCUGCACGGAGCUACUCUAACUAAUUGCUCCCACUUUCAAUAUGUAUCCAGAUUGAGACUCAGAGUCAUCUGGAUCAGUGUCAAAACUUGCAUCGACGUAACCCUUUAUGAUGAACUCUUUGUCACCUCCAUAACCGAGAAACAUUUUCUUAGUCCUCUUUAGGUAGCUAAGGAUAAUUUUGACCGCUGUCUAGUGAUCUACUCCUGGAUCACUAUUGUACCCCCUUGCCAAACUCAUGGCAAGGUACACAAUAGGUCUGGUAUACAUCAUGGCAUACUUUAUAGAACCUAUGGCUGAGGUGUAACGCCCACGAUGCGGCUAUAUCUCCCACGUGUCGAGGCACGACUUAGAGGCAUAACCGCAUUGUGGUAUUGUCGCAAGAAGGGUUAUCUUCACACAAUCCCAUGUAAUGAACAAGAAUGGGAUAACGAGAGUUGGCUUACAAUCGCCACUUCACACAAUACAUAAAUUAAUUCAUACAUCAACUACAUCUUGCUGUGAUCUAGCCGUAGCUCAGUGUUCAUCUUUUGUCAAGCAUCUCCUAUAGAUUACUGCCAUAUGCUUUGUUGCUAUGUUGGAGUGCUGUGGCAUAGUUACUUGAUGUAUUCUAAGUGCUAUCAUGCUGUAAUCGCAGAAUCGUGUCAUUCUUGUUUUGCUUGCCAUUUGCAAACCGUGCAUCCGUUUCCGGUGAUCUUUAUAUCGAUUUCGACCGAAAUCAUCUCAUCUUUCUAGUGGCAUGUAUUCACCUCUAAGUUUUGAGUUGUUUCCAUAAGCCCACAACAAGCUUAUUUUUACCAUUGUUGUUUUUCAAACAACUCCAUUCAAUCCUACUUUGUAAGGAUGCUCUUUCAAAUUCAUUUAUGGUAGGAGAUGUUGGUUUCAUUCUUCGUUCUAUUCAUUCCAACUAUAUAACUAUCAUGCAUUGUCUCCGGAGGCCUUGUGAUGUUGCUCUCUUCAACCAAUCAUCUCGUUUUCUCAAGAUCAUGUUCUUUUCCUUGCUUUUCCGUUCAACAGGAGUGUUGUGCUCUCAUUCAAGUUCUUCCAACUUAUUAAGUUUUGCUUCUCUUUUCUACUGGAGUGCUGCCUGCAUUCUUUCGUUCUCAUUCCUUGCUUAUUCCGUUUCAACCGGAGCGGUUACAUGUCCUUCCUUGUCGCUGGAGCUCUUCAUCCAUGUCUUUGCAACCCCAAGUUUUUUUCGUAAUGUUGCUUGUUCCACUUGUCUAACGGAGUGUUCUCAAUCUCGUUCAUCUCCCUUGUAUUCUCUCUUUUAGUUCGUUCAAUCUCUCAAGGUUCAUGGUUUCACUCGUUUGUCAAAGAAGCAACUUAGUUUUACCUCUUCUCUUCCUCUUCUGUUUCCCUCCGGUGCCAUUCCUAGAUCUCGAGAUGAGAUCCUCUUGUAGUGGUGGAGUGUUGUAACACCCCAGAUGUAAAACCUUCCUUAUUUUGACAAUGUAUCAAUUUUGGUCUUCAUCCAAUUCCUUGGGUCUAUCAUGGUUGGAUUCUUUUGGUUGUCUUUGUGUUGUUAUUUGUUGCAUUGCUAUGCCAUUUCCUUUUAUGUAUUGCUUUUGUCAUCCAUGUUUGCAUUGUGAUCAUUUCAAGUGUUGCAUUUGUGCUUCUUGUAAUGUUGCAUUUCAUCAUGCUCAUCAUGUGCAUUGUGUGUUUCAUGCAUGAUCACCCCUUGCAUCACCCAUCCCCUCCUUCUCUUGCUUCUAUUUGGCAAGUGCCAUUUUUCACUCCUCCUAUAAUGUUCAUCUCUUCCUCACAAUUCUAGCAUCAUGCUACUCACCUCUCUGCCAAGUUUCACCUAAUUUGGAGUUGGUUUGGUUGGGACAAAAAUUGCUUCAAGUUGGAACCUAAUUCAAACUUGGAAUAUUUUUCUGCCUUUAAAAUUUCCCAAAUCAAUUUUAUUAAAUACUAAACAAAUUCAGGACCUUGAUAAUUUUGUCACAUUUCUCAAAAUCCUUCCAAAUCCCCCUGUGCUUUUCCUUUUGUUUUCUGUCUGAAGAAGAAAAAGGAAAAGGGAAGCAGCAGUCCAGCAGCAGCCACCUGGGCCUCGGCCUCCAGGCCGGCCCAGCUAGCCCCGCACGCCAGGCGCAACACCAGCCCACCAGCGCAGCCCCCUUCGCUCGCCCUUCCGUGUGGUGAUCCACGCUGGACACCCACGCCGGUCCCGCAUGCAGUGACCUCUCCCCUACCUUUUUCUUCCUCCUCUCGCCACCUCCCCCUCACGGUAAACCUGCGGGCAGGGGAACAUGGCCUCGGUGGCAAGCCACGGGGUCCGCACCCCUUCUAUAAGACCCCAACCAGGCCCUAGGGUUUCCCCUUCCUCUCCUCCCUCUCCUCCGCGCCGCCGCCACAGGUGAGGGGACACACACGCGUCGCUUCCACCGCCGCCCACGCCAUGGCCGGCUCGGUCACGACCUCACCGCCGGCCUAACCCUCCUCUGCGGCCUCCCCUCCUUCGUCCAAGCGAUCGUGCACGCCGCCCUGGUUCCGUCCUGACGCUGAUCCACGGCCGAGAACUCCUUCCACGACGUCCCCUUCUUCCUCUGCAUCUCAAACAGAAGAUCGCGCCAAGUUCGUUGACCCGCUGCCGACGCCUCCCUCCAUCGCCGGCCACGUUUUCUCGUCCUAGGGUAAGGAGGUAUACCCGGCUUCCUCCCUUGUCCUUCUCGAUGCUGGAUGAUCCCCGUAGGAGAUGCUAGGGUCGCGCUUCCGCCUUGAUCUUGAUGCUCCGACGAUCUCUGAAUUUUUGGGUGUAGUUGAAGUAUUCUGUCUUGCACGCUCUUGUUCUUGCACACGCACUCCACGCUAUGCUCGCGUCCUUGCCAGUUUCCUCGCACGCACGCGCACCCGCAUGCCUCGCCCGCAAUGCUGCAUUCCUGCUCGCCAUCGCCUCAGUUCGGCAGCGCCGAGACGGCCUGAGUCAAGCACUAGCUCGUCCUCGGGCUCCCGCAACCGCAGCUUUGCACACGCAUGCUCGAACUCGAGCACAACCCCCUCUCUGCCCCGCGUCGCGUGUCGCCGUACCUACGCCCGCACCCUGACCGCGCGCCCGCGCUCGAACGCAAGGACCCGCCGCCUCGCCGCGUUUCCCUUCCCUGCCACUGCGCGCGACCGCAUGCCCGAGCCGAGUCGAGCUCGAACUUGAGCGCCCCGCCGCUCCUAGCCUUCCCACGCCCUUGGAUCAGCACUGCUGCUCCUUCCCGCACGCCCGCCUCUGCAUACGGAGUCCUGCCGUGCCGCCGUUGCUCGCCGGCGACGAUGCCAUCUCCUCUGUUUCCGUAGAAGAAGCCAAGCCAGGGCACCUAACUGUUUAAGGGCAGCUCGGCCGCACCCUUAUCCAGACCACCCGAUCCUAGCGCAGUGGUUGAAACCUCUCCCACUUACCUUAUGGACCCAGGUUCGAAUCCCCAUCGGGCCAGUUGUGUGAAGUGCCCUAUUUUUGCCAUUUUGGCCUCUAUGACAGUGGGACCCCACUCGUCAUUCUCUCUGUCCACACACACCACUCUCCACACCCACACUCCUGCCACCUCAGCACCACGGGCCCUCUCGUCACUGAGAGUGGUUGGCCCAGCCCGUGUUCCAUGUUGUUUUAAUUUCUUUUGCAUAUUUACAGGGAAUGCCAUCAUCUUGCAUUGCUCAUAUUUAAAUAACCGUGCAUCGGAUUAAAAUGUUUUAUAUAUGUAAAAUGCUUAGAAUUUCAUCUAGGUUCAGAAUAUGCUGCUUUCAUCCAUUUUUAAAAUGUUUAAAAUGCUGUUUGUUUAAAUUUGCUUAAAUUCCAUGUUAAAAUGAUUUAUUUCAUAACUAAUUAACCGUAGUUUCGAAUUAAAUAAUCUUUAUAUGUAAAUGGGGUAGAAAAAUGCCUAGUUUAACAUGGUGCACUUCAUUUUGCUGUUUAACAACAUAAAAAAUUAUGUUUAGGGUAGAAUAGUACCAAAUCUAAAAUAUGCACAUGGGGAUUUUCCGGAAUUGUUGUUUGUUGUUCCGGCCUCAUUUAAACUUGCCUAGAUGUGCAGUUUUAUUAUGCUUCACCUCUUUACAUGGUUAACAACAUUUAAUAUUGUUGUGUACUUAAACAAGAGCGAACUAAAUAACUCGAACGUGGUGUUUCGUCAAUAUGCAACUCGUUGCAUAUUGAGCUCCAUUUAAUGUGUAGUAUUGUUUGUGCACCUUGCCAUGCCAUGCCUCUUUAAACCGGACAUGCAUCAUACUUGAUUGUGCAUUAUGCCAUGUGAAUGUGAUGGUUGUUUACCAUGUUGUUUGUUUCUUUCCGGUGUUCCUUCAUCUUGAUAGUUCCGGUUAUGUUGCGAUUGUGAGGAUUCGUUCGACUCCGUCUGUUUGCCUUCUUCAUGGACUCGUUCUUCUUCCUUGCGGGAUCUCAGGCAAGAUGACCAUACCCUCGAAAUCACUUCUAUCUUUGCUUUGCUAGUUGUUCGCUCUAUUGCCAUGUUGCGCUACCUACCACUUGCUAUAUCAUGCCUCCCAUAUUGCCAUGUCAAACCUCUAACCAUCUUGUCCCAGCAAACCGUUGUUUGGAUAAGUUACCGCUUUUUCUCAGCCCUUCUUAUAGCGUUGCUAGUUGCAGGUGAAGUUGAAGGUGGUUCCAUGUUGGAACAUGGAUAUUUUGGAAUAUCACAAUAUCUCUUAUUUUAAUUAAUGCAUCUAUAUAUUUGGUAAAGGGUGGAAGGCUCGGCCUUAUGCCUGGUGUUUUGUUCCACUCUUGCCGCCCUAGUUUCCGUCAUACCGGUAUUACGUUCCUUGAGUUUGCGUUCCUUACGCGGUUGGGUGAUUUAUGGGACCCCCUUGACAGUUCGCCUUGAAUAAAACUCCUCCAGCAAGUCCCAACCUUGGUUUUACCAUUGGCCACCUAAGCCUUUUUCCCUUGGGUUUUCGCGAGCCCGAGGGUCAUCUUUAUUUAAACCCCCGGGCCAGUGUUCCUCUGAGUGCUGGUGCAAACUAGAGCCACUUGCAGCGCCACCUUGGGGAAACUCGAGGAUUGGUUUUAGUUGUACGUAGUGUUCAUCCGGUGUGCCCUGAGAACGAGAUAUGUGCAGCUCCUAUCAGGAUUCGUCGGCACAUUCGGGCGGCUUUGCGGGUCUUGUUUUACCAUUGUCGAAAUGUCUUGUAAACCGGGAUUCCGAGACUGAUCGGGUCUUCCCGGGAGAAGGUUUAUCCUUCGUUGACCGUGAGAGCUUAUAAUGGGCUAAGUUGGGACACCCCUGCAGGGUAUUAUCUUUCGAAAGCCGUGCCCGCGGUUAUGAGGCAGAUGGGAAUUUGUUAAUGCCCGGUUGUAGAGAACUUGUCACUCUAUGACAGUGGGACCCCACUCGUCAUUCUCUCUGUCCACACACACCACUCUCCACACCCACACUCCUGCCACCUCAGCACCACGGGCCCUCUCGUCACUGAGAGUGGUUGGCCCAGCCCGUGUUCCAUGUUGUUUUAAUUUCUUUUGCAUAUUUACAGGGAAUGCCAUCAUCUUGCAUUGCUCAUAUUUAAAUAACCGUGCAUCGGAUUAAAAUGUUUUAUAUAUGUAAAAUGCUUAGAAUUUCAUCUAGGUUCAGAAUAUGCUGCUUUCAUCCAUUUUUAAAAUGUUUAAAAUGCUGUUUGUUUAAAUUUGCUUAAAUUCCAUGUUAAAAUGAUUUAUUUCAUAACUAAUUAACCGUAGUUUCGAAUUAAAUAAUCUUUAUAUGUAAAUGGGGUAGAAAAAUGCCUAGUUUAACAUGGUGCACUUCAUUUUGCUGUUUAACAACAUAAAAAAUUAUGUUUAGGGUAGAAUAGUACCAAAUCUAAAAUAUGCACAUGGGGAUUUUCCGGAAUUGUUGUUUGUUGUUCCGGCCUCAUUUAAACUUGCCUAGAUGUGCAGUUUUAUUAUGCUUCACCUCUUUACAUGGUUAACAACAUUUAAUAUUGUUGUGUACUUAAACAAGAGCGAACUAAAUAACUCGAACGUGGUGUUUCGUCAAUAUGCAACUCGUUGCAUAUUGAGCUCCAUUUAAUGUGUAGUAUUGUUUGUGCACCUUGCCAUGCCAUGCCUCUUUAAACCGGACAUGCAUCAUACUUGAUUGUGCAUUAUGCCAUGUGAAUGUGAUGGUUGUUUACCAUGUUGUUUGUUUCUUUCCGGUGUUCCUUCAUCUUGAUAGUUCCGGUUAUGUUGCGAUUGUGAGGAUUCGUUCGACUCCGUCUGUUUGCCUUCUUCAUGGACUCGUUCUUCUUCCUUGCGGGAUCUCAGGCAAGAUGACCAUACCCUCGAAAUCACUUCUAUCUUUGCUUUGCUAGUUGUUCGCUCUAUUGCCAUGUUGCGCUACCUACCACUUGCUAUAUCAUGCCUCCCAUAUUGCCAUGUCAAACCUCUAACCAUCUUGUCCCAGCAAACCGUUGUUUGGAUAAGUUACCGCUUUUUCUCAGCCCUUCUUAUAGCGUUGCUAGUUGCAGGUGAAGUUGAAGGUGGUUCCAUGUUGGAACAUGGAUAUUUUGGAAUAUCACAAUAUCUCUUAUUUUAAUUAAUGCAUCUAUAUAUUUGGUAAAGGGUGGAAGGCUCGGCCUUAUGCCUGGUGUUUUGUUCCACUCUUGCCGCCCUAGUUUCCGUCAUACCGGUAUUACGUUCCUUGAGUUUGCGUUCCUUACGCGGUUGGGUGAUUUAUGGGACCCCCUUGACAGUUCGCCUUGAAUAAAACUCCUCCAGCAAGUCCCAACCUUGGUUUUACCAUUGGCCACCUAAGCCUUUUUCCCUUGGGUUUUCGCGAGCCCGAGGGUCAUCUUUAUUUAAACCCCCGGGCCAGUGUUCCUCUGAGUGCUGGUGCAAACUAGAGCCACUUGCAGCGCCACCUUGGGGAAACUCGAGGAUUGGUUUUAGUUGUACGUAGUGUUCAUCCGGUGUGCCCUGAGAACGAGAUAUGUGCAGCUCCUAUCAGGAUUCGUCGGCACAUUCGGGCGGCUUUGCGGGUCUUGUUUUACCAUUGUCGAAAUGUCUUGUAAACCGGGAUUCCGAGACUGAUCGGGUCUUCCCGGGAGAAGGUUUAUCCUUCGUUGACCGUGAGAGCUUAUAAUGGGCUAAGUUGGGACACCCCUGCAGGGUAUUAUCUUUCGAAAGCCGUGCCCGCGGUUAUGAGGCAGAUGGGAAUUUGUUAAUGCCCGGUUGUAGAGAACUUGUCACUUGACUUAAAUUAAAAUACAUCAACUGUGUGUGUAGCCGUGAUGGUCUCUUCUCGGCGGAGUCCGGGAAGUGAACACGGUUUGAGUUAUGCAUGAACGUAAGUAGUUUCAGGAUCACUUCUUGAUCAUUUCUAGCUUCGCGAACAUUGCGUUGCUUCUCUUCUCGCUCUCACUUGCGUAUGUUAGCCACCAUAUAUGCUUAGUGCCUGCUGCAGCUCCACCUCAUUACACCUUCCUUUCCUAUAAGCUUAAAUAGUCUUGAUCUCGCGGGUGUGAGAUUGCUGACUCCUCGUGACUCACAGAUUCUACAAAAACAGUUGCAGGUGCCGACGAUGCCAGUCCAGGUGACGCAAACGAGCUCAAGUGGGAGUUCGAUGAGGAACGUGGUCGUUACUAUGUGUCUUUUCUUGAUGUUCAGUAGUGGAGCCCAGUUGGGACGAUCGGGGAUCUAGCAUUUGGGGUUAUCUUAUUUUCAUUUGGAUUUGACCGUAGUCGGUCUAUGUGUGGAUUUUGGAUGAUGUAUGAAUUAUUUUAUGUAUUGUGUGAAGUGGCGAUUGUAAGGCAACUCUCGUUAUCCCAUUCUUAUUCAUUACAUGGGAUUGUGUGAAGAUAACCCUUCUUGCGACAAUACCACAAUGCGGUUAUGCCUCUAAGUCGUGCCUCGACACGUGGGAGAUAUAGCCGAAUCGUGGGCGUUACAUGAGGCAUACAGAAUGACUUUCAUUCUCUCUCUAUCUUCUGUCGUGGUCGGGUUUUGAGUCUUACUCAACUUCAUACCUUACAACUCAGGCAAGAACUCCUUCUUUGACUGAUCCAUUUUGAACUCCUUUAAAAUCUUAUCAAGGUAUGAACUCAUCGAAAGUCUUAUCAAGCGUCUUGAUCUAUCUCUAUAGAUCUUGAUGCCCAAUAUGUAAGCAGCUUCAUCGAGGUCUUUCUUUGAAAAACUCCUUUCAAACACUCCUUUAUGCUUUCCAAAAAAAUCUACAUCAUUUUCGAUCAACAAUAUGUCAUUCACAUAUACUUAUCAGAAAGGUUGUAGUGCUCCCACUCACUUUCUUGUAAAUACGGGCUUCACCUCAAGUCUGUAUAAAACUAUAUGCGUUGAUCAACUCAUCAAAGUGUAUAUUCCAACUCCGAGAUGCUUGCAACAGUCCAUUGAUGGAUCACUGGAGCUUGCACAUUUUGUUAGCACCUUUAGGAUUGACAAAACCUUCUGGUUGCAUCAUAUACGACUCUUCUUUAAUAAAUCCAUUAAGGAAUGCAGUUUUGAUAUCCAUAUGCCAGAUUUCAUAAAAUGCAGCAAUUGCUAGCAUGAUUCAGACAGACUUAAGCAUCGAUACGAGUGAGAAAAUCUCAUCCUAGUCAACACGUUGAACUUUUCGAAAACCUUUUGCGACAAUUCGAUCUUUGUAGAUAGUAACACUACCAUCAGCGUCUGUCUUCCUCUUGAAGAUCCAUUUAUUCUCAAUGGCUUGCCGAUCAUCGGGCAAGUCCACCAAAGUCCACACUUUGUUCUCAUACAUGGAUCCUAUCUCAGAUUUCAUGGCCUUAAGCCAUCUAUCGGAAUCUAGGCUCACCAUAGCUUCUUCAUAGUUCGUAGGUUCGCCAUGGUCUAAUAACAUGACUUCCAGGACAGGAUUACCGUACCAAACUGGUGCGAAACGUGCUCUGUUCGACCUACGAGGUCCAAUAGUAACUUGAUCUGAAGUUUCAUGAUCAUCAUCAUUAGCUUCCUCUCUAGUUGGUGUAGGCAUAACGGGAACGGAUUUCACUAAUGUGCUACUUUCCAAUUCAAGAGAAGGUACACUUACCUCAUCAAGUUCUACUUUCCUCCCACACACUUCUUUUGAGAGAAACUCCUUCUCUAGAAAGGUUCCAUUCUUGGCAACAAAGAUCUUGCCUUUGGAUCUAUGGUAGAAGGUGUACCCAAUUGUUUCCUUAGGGUAUCCUAUGAAGAUGCCCUUCUCCGAUUUGGGUUCGAGCUUAUUAGCCUGAAGCCUUUUGACGUAAGUGUCGCAACCCCAAACUUUAAGAGACGACAGCUUAGGUUUCUUGCCAAACCACAGUUUGUACGGUGUCGUCUCAACGGAUUUAAACGGUGCCCUAUUAACGUGAAUGCAACUAUCUCUAAUGCAUAACCCCAAAACGAUAGUGGUAAAUCAGUAAUAGACAUCAUAGAUCGCACCGUAUCUAAUAAAGUAUGGUUACAACAUUCGGACGCACCAUUACGCUGUGGUGUUCCAUGUGGCAUGAGUUGUGAAACUAUUCCACAUUGUUUUAAAUGAAGGCCAAACUCAUAACUCAAAUAUUCACCUCUGCGAUCAGAUCGUAGAAAUUUUAUUUUCUUGUUACGAUGAUUCUCCACUUCACUCUAAAAUUCCUUGAACUUUUCAAAUGUUUUAGACUUAUGUUUAAUUAAGUUGAUAUACCCAUAUCUGCUCAAAUCAUGUGUGAAGGUCAGAAAAUAACAAUACCUGCCGCGUGCCUCAACACUGAUCGGACCGCAUACAUCGGUAUGUAUUAUUUCCAAUAAGUCAUUGGCUGGCUCCAUUGUUCCGAAGAAUGGAGUUUUAGUCAUCUUGCCCAUGAGGCAUGGUUCGCAAGUUUCAAAUGAUUCAUCUUGCCCAGGAGGGGCGCGCCAUGGGGGGAGUCCUACUAGGACUCCACUCCUAGUUGGAUUCGCCCCCCUUUUUUCCUUUCUUACCGGAGGGGAAAAGGAAGGAGAGGGAGAGGGAAAGGGGGCGCCGCCCCCUCCCCUAGUCCAAUUCGGACUGCCAUGGGGGGGCCCGCGGCCACCUCUUGCGGCCCUCCUCUCUCUCCACUAAGGCCCAUGUAGGCCCAAUACUUCCCUGGGGGGGGGGGGUUCCGGUAACCCCUCGGUACUCCGGUAAAAUACCCGAACCACUCGAAACCAUUCCGAUGUCUGAAUACUACCUUCCAAUAUAUGAAUGUUUACCUCUCGACCAUUUCGAGACUCCUCGUCAUGUACGUGAUCUCAUGCGGGACUCCGAACAAACUUUGGUCACCAAAACACAUAACUCAUAAUACAAAACGUUAUCGAAUGUUAAGCGUGCGGACCCUACGGGUUCGAGAACUAUGUAGACAUGACCGAGACACAUCUCCGGUCAAUAACCAAUAGCGGAACCAGGAUGCUCAUAUUGGUUCCUACAUAUUCUACGAAGAUCUUUAUCGGUCAAACCGCAAUAACAACAUACGUUAUUCCCUUUGUCAUCGGUAUGUUACUUGCCCGAGAUUCGAUCGUCGGUGUCAUCAUACCUAGUUCAAUCUCGUUACCGGCAAGUCUCUUUACUCGUUCUGUAAUGCAUCAUCCCACAAAUAACUCAUUAGUCACAUUGCUUGCAAGGCUUAUAGUGAUGUGCAUUACCGAGAGGGCCCAGAGAUACCUCUCCGAUACUCGGAGUGACAAAUCCUAAUCUUGAUCUAUGCCAACCCAACAAACACCUUUGGAGACACCUGUAGAGCAUCUUUAUAAUCACCCAGUUACGUUGUGAUGUUUGAUAGCACACAAGGUGUUCCUCCGGUAUUCGGGAGUUGCAUAAUCUCAUAGUCAGAGGAAUAUGUAUAAGUCAUGAAGAAAGCAAUAGCAAUAAAACUUAACGAUCAUUAUGCUGAGCUAACGGAUGGGUCUUGUGCAUCACAUCAUUCUCUAAUGAUGUGAUCCCGUUCAUCAAAUGACAACACAUGUCUAUGGUCAGGAAACAUAACCAUCUUUGAUUGAUGAGCUAGUCAAGUAGAGGCAUACUAGGGACACUUUGUUUUGUCUAUGUAUUCACACAUGUACUAAGUUUCCGGUUAAUACAAUUCUAGCUUGAAUAAUAAACAUUUAUCAUGAUAUAAGGAAAUAUAAAUAACAACUUUAUUAUUGCCUCUAGGGCAUAUUUCCUUUAGUCUUCCACUUGCACUAGAGUCAAUAAUCUAGAUUACAUAGUAAUGAUUCUAACACCCAUGGAGUCUUGGUGCUGAUCAUGUUUUGCUCGUGGAAGAGGCUUAGUCAACGGGUCUGCAACAUUCAGAUCCGUAUGUAUUUUGCAAAUUUCUAUGUCUCCCUCCUUGACUUGAUCGCGGAUGGAAUUGAAGCGUCUCUUGAUGUGUUUGGUUCUCUUGUGAAAUCUAGAUUCCUUCGCUAAGGCAAUUGCUCCAGUAUUGUCACAAAAGAUUUUCAUUGGACCCGAUGCACUAGGUAUUACACCUAGAUCGGAUAUGAACUCCUUCAUCCAGACUCCUUCAUUUGCUGCUUCCGAAGCAGCUAUGUACUCCGCUUCACACGUAGAUCCCGCCACAACGCUUUGUUUAGAACUGCACCAACUGACAGCUCCACCAUUCAAUAUAAAUACGUAUCCAGUUUGUGACUUAGAGUCAUCCGGACUAGUGUCAAAGCUUGCAUCGACGUAACCAUUUACGACAAGCUCUUUGUCACCUCCAUAAACGAGAAACAUAUCCGUAGCCCUUUUCAGGUAUUUCAGGAUGUUCUUGACCGUUGUCCAGUGAUCCAUUCCUGGAUUACUUUGGUACCUCCCUGCUAAACUUAUAGCAAGACACACAUCAGGUCUGGUACACAACAUUGCAUACAUGAUAGAACCUAUGGCUGAGGCAUAGGGAAUGACUUUCAUUUUUCUCUCUAUCUUCUGCAGUGGUCGGGCAUUGAGUCUGACUCAACUUCACACCAGGGCCGGCCCUGAGGGGGGGCGGCCGCCCCGGGCACCCAAACCUCAGGGCCCCCCGACCAGGUAUGUAGGUAGGCUUCGGCCUAUGGGUCGGCCAUUGGUCAGAAAAAAAAAUAUUUAGUGGAUGGGCUUCAUGCUGUUCCUCGCACGCAGCCCGGUCGAUUCGUUUUUAGGAGCGCGAUCGUAUCGAUCUCGCGAACCCUUUCUACUCCACCAAGAAGCAAUUCGCAACCCUAGUCCACGGCCGCCGUACUACCGCCUCCUGCUAAUUUCCUUCCUAACCCAGUUCGCCACCGCGGCCAAUUUCAAUUGUCGUGGCCCCGCCGCCAUUUGCUUGCUCUCCGUCAACAGACUGCAUUGUAUGGGUAGUCACCAAGGUAUAUCAUAUUUCUGUUCCUUAGAUGCACAGCCGUCAAUAUUUGACGCAGUUCUUUUUCCAGCAUUAUCUGCAAUCACGUCGUUCAGAGAAUCUGCAUCGUGUACCCAUAAAAUGUAAAGGAAAAAAAUGGAUAACUUGGAACAAUCACAGCGUGAAGAUACUCAUAAUUUUUUCAAUACUGGUGCUUCCGCUGCUUCAAUAAAAUUUCACACCAACAUUGAUGAUAACAAUGUCGAGCGUCUCCCACCAACUGCGAGUCAUGCUGUCAUCACCGAGCGUCCAAUCAGGGAUCAUAGAGGUAUACCAUAUUAUCACUCUCUAUACUUUUUUUAGAAGAAUCAUUCUCUAUACCUAUUUUGCCAAUUAAGUAAAGUAAUUUAUCUAUACGAUGCAUGAUGCAUGAUGCAUGGCUUGCAUUGUUCAACCUUUGAUGCAAUUUUCUUGGUCUGGCUAUUAUUCAGCCGCCUUUUUUUGGCAUGAGUCAAUCUUUCCGCAAUCCCGCCAAGUCAGAUCUGUCCUCUUGUAACGGCAGAACCGCCAUCCACCACUACCCUUGAUCGGUUUGGCACUGCUGUGUCUGCCCGAGCCACUUCCUCCGCUGCCGGGACGCCACCUCUAGACCAUCACUCUAGUGACCCCUUCUCAUGCGUCGGCGACCCCAUAACACCCCCAACUAGCAACCUUCUACUCCCCGCCACUUGAGAUUCCUAGGGUCUCAUUGGGGUGCCAUAGACGGUGCCAUCUAGCCUUUUUCUCUAGGAAAAUCAAUCGAUGCCAUUAGCAAUGUAUAAUUUUGUUGUUAUGAUGUUUAUAUUAAGGGGCCCUGAGUUUUAGUUCUGCCCCGGGCCCCCAAAAUCUCAGGGCCGGCCCUGCUUCACACCUUGUAACACAGGCAAGAACCCUUACUUUGACUGAUCCAUUUUGAACUUCUUCAAAACUUUAUCAAGGGGUAUGUGCUUUGUGGAAGUCCAGUUAAGCGUCUUGAUCUAUCUCUAUAGAUCUUGAUGCCCAAUAUAUAAGCAGCUUCACCGAGGUCUUUCACUUUCAUUGAAAAAUUCUUAUUCAAGUAUCAUUUUAUGCUAUCCAGAAAUUCUGUAUUAUUUCCAAUCAACAAUAUGUCAUCAACAUAUAAUAUCAGAAAUGCUACAGAGCUCCCACUCACUUUCUUGUAAAUACAGGCUUCUCCAAAAGUCUGUAUAAAACCAUAUGCUUUGAUCACACUAUCAAAGCGUAUAUUCCAACCCCGAGAUGAUUGCACCAGUCCAUAAAUGGAUCGCUGGAGCUUGCACACUUUGUUAGCACCUUUAGGAUCGACAAAACCUUCUGGUUGCAUCAUAUACAACUCUUCUUUAAGAAAUCCAUUAAGGAAUGCAGUUUUGACAUCCAUUUGCCAAAUUUCAUAAUCAUAAAAUGCGGCAAUUGCUAACAUGAUUCGGACAGACUUAAGAAUCGCUACGGAUGAGAAGGUCUCAUCGUAGUCAACUCCUUGAACUUGUCGAAAACCUUUUGCAACAAGUCGAGCUUUGUAGACAGUAACAUUACCGUCAGCGUCAGUCUUCUUCUUGAAGAUCCAUUUAUUCUCUAUGGCUUGCCGAUCAUCGGGCAAGUCAACCAAAGUCCAUACUUUGUUCUCAUACAUGGAUCCCAUCUCAGAUUUCAUGGCCUCAAGCCAUUUCGUGGAAUCUGGGAUCAUCAUUGCUUCCUCAUAGUUCGUAGGUUCGUCAUGGUCUAGUAACAUGACUUCCUGAAUAGGAUUACCGUACCACUCUGGUGCGGACUGUACUCUGGUUGACCUACGAGGUUCAGUAGUAACUUGAUCUGAAGUUUCAUGAUCAUCAUCAUUAGCUUCCUCACUAAUUGGUGUAGGAAUCACUGGAAAUGGUUUUUGUGAUGAACUACUUUCCAAUUCGGGAGAAGGUACAAUUACCUCAUCAAGUUCUACUUUCCUUCCACUCACUUCCUUCGAGAGAAACUCCUUCUCUAGAAAGGAUUCAUUCUUAGCAACAAAUGUCUUGCCUUCGGAUCUGUGAGAGAAGAUGUACCCAACAGUUUCCUUUGGGUAUCUUAUGAAGACACAUUUCUUCGAUUUGGGUUCGAGCUUAUCAGGUUGAAGCUUUUUCACAUAAGCAUCGCAGCCCCAAACUUUAAGAAACGACAGCUUAGGUUUCUUGCCAAAUCACAGUUCAUAUGGUGUCGUCUCAACGGAUUUAGAUGGUGCCCUAUUUAACGUGAAUCCAGCCGUCUCUAAAGCAUAACCCCAAAACGAUAGCGGUAAAUCGGUAAGAGACAUCAUAGAUCGCACCAUAUCCAAUAAAGUACGGUUACGACGUUCGAACACACCAUUACGCUGUGGUGUUCCAAGAGGUGUGAGUUGCGAAACUAUUCCACAUUGUUUCAAAUGAAGACCAAACUCGUAACUCAAAUAUUCACCUCCACGAUCAGAUCGUAGAAACUUUAUUUUCUUGUUACGAUGAUUUUCUACUUCACUCUGAAAUUCUUUGAACUUUUCAACUGUUUCAGACAUAUGUUUCAUUAAGUAGAUAUACCCAUAUCUGCUCAAAUCAUCUGUGAAGGUCAGGAAAUAACGAUACCCGUCGCGAGCCUCAACACUCAUCAGACCGCAUACAUCAGUAUGUAUUAUUUCCAAUAAGUCAGUUGCUCGCUCCAUUGUUCCGGAGAACGGAGUCUUAGUCAUCUUGCCCAUGAGGCAUGGUUCGCAAGCAUCAAGUGGUUCAUAAUCAAGUGAUUCCAAAAGCCCAUCAGCAUGGAGUUUCUUCAUGCGCUUUACACCAAUAUGACCUAAAUGGCAGUGCCACAAAUAAGUUGCACUACCAUUAUUAACUUUGCAUCUUUUGGCUUCAAUAUUAUGAAUAUGUGUAUCACUACGAUCGAGAUUCAACAAAAAUAGACCACUCGUCAAGGGUGCAUGACCAUAAAAGAUAUUACUCAUAUAAAUAGAACAAAAAUUAUUCUCUGAUUUAAAUGAAUAACCAUCUCGCAUCAAACAAGAUCCAGAUAUAAUGUUCAUGCUCAACGCUGGCACCAAAGAACAAUUAUUCAGGUCUAAAACUAAUCCCGAAGGUAGAUGUAGAGGUAUCGUGCUGACGGCGAUCACAUCGACCUUGGAACCAUUUCCGACGCGCAUCGUCACCUCGUCCUUAGCCAAUCUUCGUUUAAUCCGUAGCCCCUGUUUCGAGUUGCAAAUAUGAGCAACAAAACCAGUAUCAAAUACCCAGGCGCUACUACGAGCAUUAGUAAGGUACACAUCAAUAGCAUGUAUAUCAAAUAUACCUUUCACUUUGCCAUCCUUCUUAUCCGCCAAAUACUUUGCCAUCCUUUCGCUUCCAGUGACCAGUCCCUUUGCAGUAGAAGCACUCAGUUUCAGGCUUAGGUCCAGACUUGGGCUUCUUCCCGGGAGCACCAACUUGCUUGCUAUUCUUCUUGAAGUUCCCCUUCUUCCCUUUGCCCUUUUUCUUGAAACUAGUGGUCUUGUUAACCAUCAACACUUGAUGCGCCUUCUUGAUUUCUACCUCGGCAGCCUUUAGCAUUGCAUAGAGCUCGGGAAUUGUCUUUUCCAUCCCUUGCAUAUUAUAGUUCAUCACGAAGCCCUUAUAGCUUGGUGGUAGUGAUUGAAGAACUCUGUCAAUGACACUAUUAUCAGGAAGAUUAGCUCCCAGCUGAGUCAAGUGGUUAUGGUACCCAGACAUUCUGAGUAUGCGUUCACUGACAGAACUAUUCUCCUCCAUCUUGCAGCUAUAGAACUUGUUGGAGACUUCAUAUCUCUCAAAUCGGGCAUUUGCUUGAAAUAUUAACUUCAACUCCUGGAACAUCUCAUAUGCUCCACGACGUUCAAAACGUCUUUGAAGUCCCGAUUCUAAGCCGUAAAGCAUGGCACACUGAACUAUCGAGUAGUCAUCAACUUUAGUCUGCCAGACGUUCAUAACGUCUGGAGUUGCUCCUGCAGUGGGCCUUGCACCUAGCGGUGCUCCCAGGACGUAAUUCUUCUGUGCAACAAUGAGGAUAAUCCUCAAGUUACGGACCCAGUCCAUGUAGUUGCUACCAUCAUCUUUCAACUUAGCUUUCUCUAGGAACGUAUUAAAAUUCAAGGGAACGGUAGCAUGGGCCAUCGAUCUACAACAACAUAGAUAUGCAAAUACUAUCAGGACUAAGUUCAUGAUAAAUUAAAGUUCAAUUAAUCAUAUUACUUAAGAACUCCCACUUAGAUAGACAUCCCUCUAGUCAUCUAAAUGAUCACGUGAUCCAUAUCAACUAAACCAUGUUCGAUCAUCACGUGAGACGGAGUAGUUUAUAAUGGUGAACAUCUCUAUGUUGAUCAUAUCUACUAUAUGAUUCACGUUCGACCUUUCGGUCUCAGUGUUCCGAGGCCAUAUCUGC
rnacentral:lncRNA from 1 species